CUCAAGAAUCAGAACAACCUGAAGUUCUUUAAGCUGUCAGUUGAAGGACUAGGUUUGACUGCAAUGCAGUGUGAAUAUCGCACAUGGGACCAUUUGUCAUACUGUCAGAUGGCAAUACAUAGAUGGAUAGAAUUUUGCUGUUUGAUCAAAGCUGUGCCAUCGGAAACUUGUUUUCCCAAGUAUGGGUACAUUCUCCUCUUUUCCUGAGUGGAGAAACCUAGAUCUGAGCAAAAAGCAUGAAUCAAUACACCUUGGGAGGCAGGGUGUCAAAUAUUUGAUGCCAUUUCCUUUGCUUGUAAAUUGUUCAUUUCAUUUGAAUAUAAAUAUAAAAGGACUUCUACCAAGAACAUGAAACUAACAUUUUGCCAAGCUAAAUUUUAAUGAAUUUAUUUGGACUUUUUUAUAAUCACUUAAUAUUUUCAGUUCAUGUGCUAAUAUUAACUCUACUUACUGGAGAGAAAGAAAUGGUAUUCAAUAUGAUAACUGCCUUGUUACUGCAGAAAUGUAGAAGUUUGGCAUCUUAAGUAUCAAAUAUUUUAAGUCAAAAAAUUACCAGUGUCCCACAGCACAGAGAGAGAAUAUAUGUUUGCUUGUGUCCCUUUAAUCUUUCCCCUGUAAAAUUAAGCCUAGGGGCCUUACACUAUUUUAAAUUUUCAAAAUUAGGUCAUGUAAAUGUUGUGUCAGAUUUCCAAUUCAUAAGUAGUAUACUUAUGAAUACUGAAUAGUGAACAUAGGGUACAUUUUUAUCCUACUGAUUGCUUAGCUGUGGACCAGAGGUAAACAGAGAAUGAAUGGUAUUUUCACAGGUUAGUAAACUGUUUUUCUAUGAUCUCUUAUAUACAAGUGUGAUGAACAUUUUUUCCCCCUUCCUGAACUAAUAUAGGAACAUAUGGUCUAAUAAGUGUGAGUUCAUUUGGGGAGGGCAGGAUAGAAUGCUUGAAAUUAGGACUGACCCAAAAAAUGCCUUGGUCUCAGUAUUUGUGGAUUACGAGGAGGAAGGGCUGAAAAGGAACCUUAAAAGCAUUAGAAUGGUAGAGUACAGAUUAGCAGCAACACUCAGGGCUCCAUCAUGAAGAGAGUGAGAUGAGUUCCCAUGGUUAAUGCAGCAGGGGCUCUAAUUGAAAGCCCUCUACCUAGGAAAUGAUUUAAAUCCUUUUAUCCUAGCUGGAUUGUGAACGUUUUAUUUACUUUGAGGAAGUUGUUUAACCCUUUUUGUAGAUUGCAUCAAUAUUUAGAGUAAUGUAAAUACAUUUUCCCUUUGGCUAUUUUACAAGGACAUUGAGGAUUAAUUAAAUUUAAAAGAAAGUAGUGCAGUUAACUCCCAGGAGACAGAGGGAGAUGUUUAUCAUUUUUCUCAUCAUUCAUUCCUUAUUCAUUCAUUUUACAAAUGUUUGUUGAAUAGUAAUUAUAAUGAAGAUACUAUACCAGCUUCCUGAAUUGGGAAUACAAAGAUGAAGGAUGAGAGUGACUUCUGCCUUCAUUAUGUUAUGUGUUCAUAUUUUCUUUUUAAAAUUCUCAUUAUAAUAUGAGUAAUUGUGCAGGGAUUUAAUAUUGCUGGUCUCAGCAAUAGUUGAUCUUUGAUUAACAUCUCACUGACACAUAUUUUCACUGUGUAUAUUUAUUUUUCCUUUCUAAAUUUAGAACUACUCUUUAUCUUCUACUGUAAGAGAUAUACAACAUACUUUUGUUUUUUUCUAUGUUGUAAUCAGUGCAGUUUUUUUAACCAAGAAUAAACACAAGUUCUAAUAGCAAACAGAAAUAAACUCCCUACACAUUACCUUCUCCAUUAAAAUAUGUUUUAUGCCACAUGCAGAAUUUUAAUAUUAUAUAGUUAUUUGUGAAAGUAUAACUAAAUAGAAAUUUUAAGAAAGAAUGCCUCUAAUAUUCAUAUCUUAGCACUAAAGAAGCAUAUAUUAUUCUGCAGAUUGAAUUAAAAUGUUAGUUACCAAGAUAUGAACUUAGACAUUUUCAGUAAGCAUUUAUAGGCUAUUCUAGUAGAAAACUGUACACAAUUUCCCAUGAGGCUGGUGAAGGUUUCUUAGCUUAAGCGACUUUUUAGCUGGUUCUUGGAUUUUAUUAAAUAAUAUUUGAAUGAACAGUUUUGACUAACAGCCUGAAAAUAUUAAUCUUUCCUCUCAGUCUGAGCAAGCGAAAGUAGAUAAAUUCAUAUUGUAUGUCUGAUUCUCUUUGGGUUUGAAAAGAAAUAAAGACUCUACUUCUAAAUUAGCAUAGAAAAAAGGAGAAUUUCUCUUGAUUUAUUUCUCAGUUUGGGUUUGUGCUUUUGAAAAAGGAAAAUAAUGAUCCUGAAAUCAGUAGGCUUUGUCUUUGCCAAAAAAUGUGGACAUGUUGAUCUUAGGGGGGCUGAUUAUAUAAAACAGUAGAAAUGUAGUCUUAGAUGAAAAUCUGUAAAGAUGUAAGAAUGCUGAACUAACAUGAAAAUCAGGGGCUGAGAAAAUGCUGGAUUGAGAAUAAUGUGAUAAUGAAGGUUUUAUAUAUAUUCAUAUAUAUAAAAUGUAUUCAUAUAUUCUCUUCAACAUACAUAAUGUCAUAAAAAGGAUAAAACGCCUAAGUCUAGUCUUGGCAGAGCACCAGCUUAAAUCACAUGAGCCUAUCAGAGAACUUAUGACAAUAUUUAGGGCUAAACUGAUGUUACUGGUGAACCAGUAUCUGGAAUGAUUUCCAUAACUCACUUAACUUGCACAUUUAUAAUGUGGACUUUAAAAAAUAAUUAUCAGGAUGGCUACUCUGAAGCCAGGAGCUUAGGAAGUGUCACAGAUGGUAUAUAUUUGUAUUCCUGCCUCAUGUCCCUUUCCCUGAAGUGGCGUGUGGAGUAUGAGGGAUUACGGUGUAUUUGUAGGUGGUGUCCCUGAAAGGCUAUCAGGGGACUUCUGGUUCUGCUUCAGUUCUGUUUUGUGAAGACGGUCAAGUGAUUUAAGGUCUCUUGCUUCAGCCAUCCCACUUAGAAAGCAGUUGCUUUAUAGUCCUUUGGGUAUAUACCCAGUAAUGGGAUGGCUGGCUCAAAUGGUAUUUCUAGUUCUAGAUCCCCGAGGAAUCGCCACACUGACUUCCACAAUGGUUGAACUAGUUUACAGUCCCACCAACAGUGUAAAAGUGUUCCUAUUUCUCCACAUCCUCUCCAGAACCUGUUGUUUCCUGACUUAUUAAUGAUUGCCAUUCCAACCGGUGUGAGAUGGUAUCUCAUUGUGGUUUUGAUUUGCAUUUCUCUGAUGGCCAGUGAUGAUGAGCAUUUUUUCAUGUGUUUUUUGGCUGCAUAAAUGUCUUCUUUUGAGAAGUAUAUACCCAAAGGACUAUAAAUCAUGCUGCUGUAAAGACACAUGCACACGUAUGUUUAUUGCGGCACUAUUCACAAUAAGCAAAGACUUGGAACCAACCCAAAUGUCCAACAAUGAUAGACUGGAUUAAGAAAAUGUGGCACAUAUACCCCGUGGAAUACUAUGCAGCCAUAAAAAAUGAUGAGUUCAUGUCCUUUGUAGGGACGUGGAUGAAAUUGGAAAUCAUCAUUCUCAGUAAACUAUCGCAGGAACAAAAAACCAAACACCACAUAUUCUCACUCAUAGGUGGGAAUUGAACAAUGAGAUCACAUGGACACAGGAAGGGGAACAUCACACUCUGGGGACUGUUGUGGGGUGGGGGGAGGGGGGAGGCAGAGCAUUGGGAGAUAUACCUAAUGCUAGAUGACGAGUUAGUGGGUGCAACGCACCAGCAUGGCACAUGUAUACAUAUGUAACUAACCUGCACAAUGUGCACAUGUACCCUAAAACUUAAAGUAUAAUAAUAAAAGAAAAAAAAGAAAAAAAAAAAAGAAAGCAAUUGCUUGAGACUACUUCACUGUAAGCUCCUUUUUUUUUUUAAAUAAAUGCAGAUUUUAUGAUAUUCCUGAUCAUUCUCUUUGCACUUAGUUUUAAAAUGUUAUUUGCAGUUGAUUAGAGAGUGGUGAUAAGUAAGCCAGGAUUUCUGGAAUGCCAGGGCACUGUCCCCAUGCAUGGAAAACUGCACAAGAGCUUGUGUGUCUUGACAUUCCCACAUGUCAGGAUGCCUUCAUUUGCUAAUGACAGAAUACCCAACUCAGACUGGAUUAAAUAAAAGGGGAUUUUCUUGCUUAUUUAACUCUAGAUUCAGUGGUAAAUGGGUUUCUGGGUUGAUUGGUUUGGGGCCUAACAAUGUCUUCAAGGACUUGGUUUCUUUUCAACAGUCAGCUUUUGCCUUCCUGUGAGCUAGCAUUGUUUCCCAUGGGAUUGCAAGGCAGCUGCAUACAACUCCUGCAGUUCUUCCUUUUCCAUAUCCAGAGAGGGGACGUCCUUUCAGACGCUGAUUAUUUUAGGUGUAAAUUCCAUGUCCCAUCCC